GUUCGGCCGCCGAAGGUGUUGAGGAGGUGGUUUCGGCUGCCUAAACCUGCCCCCGAAGGAUUGGACUUUCGUCUCUGGAGGGAAGGUUCGGCCGCCGAAGGUGCCGCCGAAGGUUAGAGACUUUCGUCUCUGGAGUGUGUUUUGGCCCCCUAACCUUGCCCCCGAAGGCUUCGGCCGCCGAAAGAGGAGAUUCGGCCGCCGAAAGUAGGCGAGUUUCGUCUCUGGAGAGGACAUUCGGCCGCCGAACCUGCCGCCGAAAGUGCCCUGUCCAGCCUUCUUUUGCAUGUUUUCUGAGAUUGUGUUAAGAGCUUUUAGAGGAGUUUUGGGAAGUUUUCUAGAGUUGGUAAAGAGUAUAGUUGACACCUCAUUCGAGUCCAUUUGUGUAGGAUUGGACCCGAGAGAUCGAGGAGGUCAGCAGAGUUAGAGGUUGCAGAGUCAGUUCAAUAUCUGCCAGAGGAGCAGAGGUGAGUAGAACUAAACUUAAUCUUUUAUUAAAGAAACAUAAUGCUUUAGCAUAGUUCAUGCAUCAUGAAUGCUAUGAUAUGUAUUAGAAUCACGAAUGUGAAGCAUUGCAUAUUAUGUGAUCAGAGAUUAGGUGGACCC
rnacentral:lncRNA from 1 species